UUAACUAUUUUAUAGUACUCAGACAACACUAAUAUUCAGAGUUUAGGGGUUCUUUGGCGGGCACUUACCAGCCAGAGCCGGUAGCCGAAGCGGCCCGCCAAAGCAACAAAGGUAUGGUAUUCAAGGGUGGGAGAUCUACCCGUGAGGGCAUGAACUCUGUAAUGAUCCUUCCGCAGGUUCACCUACGGAAA
rnacentral:misc_RNA from 1 species